CGAACGCUGGCGGCGUGCCUAAUACAUGCAAGUAGCACGCUGAAGGAGGAGCUUGCUCUUCUGGAUGAGUUGCGAACGGGUGAGUAACGCGUAGGUAACCUGCCUGGUAGCGGGGGAUAACUAUUGGAAACGAUAGCUAAUACCGCAUAAGAGUAGAUGUUGCAUGACAUUUACUUAAAAGGUGCAAUUGCAUCACUACCAGAUGGACCUGCGUUGUAUUAGCUAGUUGGUGGGGUAACGGCUUACCAAGGCGACGAUACAUAGCCGACCUGAGAGGGUGAUCGGCCACACUGGGACUGAGACACGGCCCAGACUCCUACGGGAGGCAGCAGUAGGGAAUCUUCGGCAAUGGACGGAAGUCUGACCGAGCAACGCCGCGUGAGUGAAGAAGGGUUUCGGAUCGUAAAGCUCUGUUGUAAGAGAAGAACGAGUGUGAGAGUGGAAAGUUCACACUGUGACGGUAUCUUACCAGAAAGGGACGGCUAACUACGUG
rnacentral:rRNA from 1 species